CAAAAAUCAUUUUCAACAUUUUGACUAUUACUGACCGUCCCUAGAGCAAGUGGCAAAGGGCUUGGUGGUUGGUAUCCGAGACCCAAGUUCGAAUUCUAGUUGAUUCACAUUUCUAGCUAAGUUUAUUUCUAAAUGAAAUAAAACGAAGCGGGUAGCGUGCUACCUAUUUCUCCAAAAAAAAAAAAAAAACAUUUUGACUAUUAUCGAUCGUCCCUAGAUCAAGUGGCAAAGGGCGAAUCUUAAUUGAUUCACAUUUCUAGCUAAGUUUAUUUUCAAGUGAAAUAAACGAAGUAGGUAACGUGCUAUCUAUUUCUCAAAAAAAAAAUAUUUUGACUGUUUUGUAUAAGGCUGG
rnacentral:lncRNA from 1 species